CCAGCACAGUUGGCUGAAUCCUCAGGACUUAGACUCUGGCCUGUGUUUGCUCCUCUCCACAAAUCCUGGGUCUCUUGAUUGGUAUCUGAAGGUGUGAGCCAAUUUUCAACUGCAGAGUUUGGAGGAAUUUAGAAGAAGACACAGUCUUUGCUCUGCAGUGUGAGAAGUCAGGACAGGCAGACACAGGAUCACAGCAACUAUGGCCUCAUCAUUCCUGGAGAUGAUAAAGGAGGAAGUAACCUGUCCUAUCUGUUUGGAGCUCCUGAAGGAACCUGUGAGUGCUGAUUGUAACCACAGCUUCUGCAGAGCCUGCAUCACACUGAACUAUGAGUCCAACAGAAACACAGACAGGAAGGGCAACUGCCCUGUGUGCCGAGUUCCUUACCCAUCUGGGAAUCUGAGGCCUAAUCUACAUGUGGCCAACAUAGUAGAGAGGCUCAAGGGGUUCAAGUCCAUUCCAGAGGAGGAGAAGAAGGUGAAUAUCUGUGCACAACAUGGAGAGAAACUCUGGCUCUUCUGUAGGAAGGACAUGAUGGUCAUCUGCUGGCUUUGUGAGCGAUCUCAGGAGCACCGUGGUCACCAAACAGCUCUCAUUGAAGAGGUUGACCAAGAAUACAAGGUAAGGAGCAGGAAGAUACAGGAAACAAAGCAUAAAGCAGUAACAAGUGGAAAACCUCCACUUUUGCUGACAGGGUGCUUACCUGAGCAUUAUAGGCUUGGAAGUUGA